AAUUCGAGAGGCUACAGAAUGGUAGCUGGUGGAGGAAUUCUAAAGGUGUUAUAUAGUGAUAGGGUUAUUCUGGAGGAAAGAAGAGGAUGAAAAAGAAUUACUAUCUGAUAGGGAUCCUAGUGUGAGGCAAAACUUUAGGAGCCAAGAGGAGUUCAAAGUGAGGUGGAGCUCCAGAUGGAGGUGGAUCAGAAACAAGACGUGAGACUCAGGAGGAUGAGAGGCGAUAUCGUAGAGUGAAAUUUCUAUUGCCAUAGGAGGACACCCCGAGCAGGUCUCAGGUCAGAAGGAGCACACAUAUGAUGGAGAUGGGAUCGUGCGGCCUAGCUCGACUCUCAUAUUUGUCCAUCCAUGAUCAGUAGGCAAUUAUCCUAGGGCAUAAGGGCAAGGAGAUCCAGAAGCA
rnacentral:lncRNA from 1 species